rnacentral:lncRNA from 1 species
AGGAAGGAUGCUAGCGGUGUUCGAGAGAUCAGUGGCGAAGCCGCCGGUGGAGCUGGACAUAUGCCCUGUGCGGCCUGUUCCCUUCGAUCGAUUGGAGGCAGAACAGCUCGCUCUUCAACGCCAUGUUCCCCGACGCCACCUGCUACAAAGUCUCUAAUGGCAGCUUCAUGUCCAUCUCUUACUGCAAUGAUAGCCCCCAGCAUCCCAGGUCUCUCUCUCUCUCUCUCUCUCUCUAUAUAUAUCUUCUACUACUUUUUAUUCUCUUUUUCUCCCUUGGGUGCUUUUGGCUCUAUCAUCUAACUUGUUAAGUCAUUUGCAACAAGUCUUAAUCAAUAUUUGAUCGUUUUCUCAUCAAAAUAUUUGAAAAACAUAUAUCAGAAAACAUGCUUACAAUACAUAAUAAUUGAUGAAGUUUUCUUUCUUUCUUUUUGUUGUGAAGUUGGUGGGGGGAGGGAUGGGUGUUCCUUUGAAAGAAAUGCAGUGAAAUGCCGUCAGUGGAGUUGGAAAGCAAAACCUGUCCAAGCCGAUGCGACAAAAGAGAUGGGUGCAACAACUAUGCUUUAUUUUGGGGUAGAAAUCAGCUUUGUUGAUUUCUGAGUCUCUUUCUCUGUUUAUUUAUAUCCAUUCUCGCUGUAUGUUCGAUUUUAAACUUCUCAGUGCUGUCUGUUUCUCCUUCUGAUUGUGUCUCGGUUGAUUCUAUCCGUAAUUUACAUUUCUGUAUUCUUCUAGUAAUGCAAGCUUUGCUCCUAUAGUUUAUCAAAAAAUAAAACAAAAAGAAAAAGAGAUGGGUGCAACAAGCGGUAUAUCUAAGUCGCGGUGGCAUAUCUGUCAAAAAUGAUCUCGAAAUAUAUGGUUGAUCUAAUUUUCUCAACUUUUAGAAACAAAUCAUUUAAUCUGGAUCAAAACAAGAAAUGCUCAGAAAAACUAUAUAUGAGUUUUCAAUAGCUUCAGAAUAUUUUCCUCAUUUUUUUUUUUUUUCAAUAACAUGUAUCCAAUUUCUACAUCCG